rnacentral:rRNA from 1 species
CAACUUUUAACAACGGAUCUCUUGGUUCUCGCAUCGAUGAAGAACGUAGCAAAGUGCGAUAACUAGUGUGAAUUGCAUAUUCAGUGAAUCAUCGAGUCUUUGAACGCAACUUGCGCUCAUUGGUAUUCCAAUGAGCACGCCUGUUUCAGUAUC